UGCCAAUUCUAAUGUGAAACAUAUUUUGUUGUCUGUAAUUUACUGGUUAAUAUUGUGACCGUGUUAUUUUUAAUAUUUUAUUAAUCAUCAUCAUCAGCCCAUAGACUUCCACUGCUGGACAUUGGUCUUUCCCAAUCGACACCCUUUGAAGGUCAUUGCACUGCAAAAUUAAGGAGUGUCCCACAUUAAGUUUGCUGCUAUACAGUCUUCUCUAAAUUUUACUAUGAGUGUCAAUAAUUUUGAUUCUCUAUUUCUAUCAAGGCAAUCAGUAAAAUAUCGAAAUCUCAAAUAGCCCUGAUAAGCACUUGAAAUUUACUACCCCUAUGUGGAUAAAUACGGAAAUAAGGAACAAAAAGAGAAUGUAAUUCGAACCAAGUAUAAUCACAGCAAAAUACCAGAGAUGUACAGUGUGGACAAAAUGUAUUAAACUGUUGUCUUGCAUAAUGAUAUAGAUCACUGCCAUUUGAACUUUACCAAAUGUGUAUAAUAAUAUCUGACCUGAAUUAAUAAAACAUUUAAAUAACUUAA